rnacentral:rRNA from 1 species
CAGCGUUUUCCGGAUUAUUGGGUUUAAAGGGUACGUAGGCGGGWUUUUAAGUCAGUAGGUGAAAGCCUCCAGCUCAACUGGAGAACUGCCAUUGAWACUGAWAUUCUUGARUAUAGGAUAGAGGUAGAGKUGGAAUAUMCHCAUGUAGCGGUGAAAUGCUUAGAUAUGUGAUAGGAACACCAAUUGCGAAGGCAGMUCACUAAACYAUUUAYUGACGCUGAGGUACGAAAGCGUGGGGAGCRAACAGGAUUAGAUACCCUGGUAGUCCACGCCGUAAACGAUGUUCACUCGCUGUUGGCGAUAUCCUGUCAGCGGCCAAGCGAAAGC